AGUAGACGCUUCGCGUCUACUUUAGUCCGUGGGGACCAGUAGAAAUUUUAAAAAUUUUUGUCAGUACUACAAAAAAAAAAUCUCCAAAAUUAUCCAAGGAGUGCCCUAAACACGCAGUGGGGAAGAGACCUGCCGUAUCCUCAUAAGGCUCUGAGUUCAAACCUUAGCCUCGGCAUGGUGCUCUACCCAACUUUUUCUUUUUUUAGUACUUGGAAAACAUUAACAUCUAUAAUAAAUCCAAAAAUCUCAUCCAUUAUUCUCUAAGAGACCAACAUACAAAAUUGACGAAACACAAAGUCACGGUCUCACAACAUGUAAUUAAACGGGCUACACGUGUUUCGCUCUAGUUAGAGCAUCAUCAGGCCUUUAGAAGCCAUCCACACACUUAUGCUGUAACUGAUGAUGCUCUAACUAGAGCGAAACACGUGUAGCCCGUUUAAUUACAUGUUGUGAGACCGUGACUUUGUGUUUUUCUUUGUUUUUCGUCAAUCUAUAGUAAAUACAGAGAGAAAAGGAAAGGUCUUAUUAUAUAUUAUAAUCAAAAAUAAAUUUCAUUGAAAUAUUACUAACUUAUUUCUGGGUAUCAUGCUUCAGAGAACCAUGAUGUGUUACAAUACGCUCCGCUCUUUAAUUUUAGUUUAGUAGAAAAUAUUCUCAAAACCUACAUAUAUCAAAAUUAUGUCAGGGUUCUAAAAUGAAUCGGUAAUAAAAUCGUAAACCAGAUCAACAUUGGAAAUAAUUUAAAAAAUUUGCUUUGGUCCGAUUGAAAAAAGUACUAUACUACCAAAUAGUUACAUCUAUUCUGUAGCAAUAAAAGUUAUAAAAUUCUGUCUAUUAUUAAUUUUAAUAUUAUAAAGUGUAUCGUUUAACUCUUAGCCAUUAUUUAUAAUUUAAUUGUUAAUUAUGCCUAAAAAAACGAAUUAACAACUUUGGUAUUGUUUGGAAGGUAAACAGCUUAAUUCCUUUAUGUAAAGCCACCUUAACAUGUUUUUGCAUAAUUCUGACUCACGUUGGUUGCUAUCGGGCUUAAGCCAUAAAAAUCGAAGAAAAAAAGAAGAAGACGAAGAGACUUUCACUUGUCAUUUCAAUGUCACUUUCCGGCCCACAAGCAUAAACGCCACCGGCAACGGAAGUUCCCAAAAUCCAAACAAAUGUUGGAAGAUAUUUUUAAGUCUCCGCAUCUUUCUUACUUUCCUAUAUGAAAAUAAAAUGUAAGUAUCACAAUUACACACAUACAAGUUUUUUUUUUUAAUUCAGUUUCAUAAUUACCAAUUUUUAGUGAAUAAUCCUGAAAUUUAUGAAAAUACAUACAUUUUAAGGUUAUGUCAUAAUGUUUUGAUUGUUAUAUUUGAUUUUGUUUUUGUUAUUUUAGUGGACUACACCAACAAAGGUUAUGUGUUUUGCACCAGAUUGAAAGCAUCAUAGCGAAAAACGGACCUGUCAUAUCUUUAAAUUUUCAAAAGAGCCCCUGGAAAAAGAAAAAUGAAUAUCUUUGCCAAGGAAUAGGUACUAAGGCAAAUGGAUAAAAAACCUUCAGUCCAUGCAUUGGUAUGUAAUUGUUGACAAAAAUACAAUGAAUGGCCUCACUACUUUUCCACAUGCAAAGAGGUUAACCAAGGAGAAAUUAAAGAAAUUGUCAAAAACCUAGGUAAAUACAGAAUUGCUUAGUACAAACAUAUCUAUACCCAGUACAAGUUCGUCCACUUCUUUGAAGCAUGGUACUUCAAACAGAGACACUGUCAACAAUUUUGUAGAAGGUGAGCCGGUGUCAAAUUCCAGUAAGGGACAUGAUUUCAAUUUUGCACCAACAGCAGAGCUAAAAUUCAUUUUGCCGCAAAAAACUGGAGGAUGUGAAAGAAAAAAGUGCAGAAGUUAAAAUUAAGUUUUUCAUAUGAGCACAUAAAAAAUAAUCAUGACAAAGUUCAGUUGUAUACAGGUUUGACAUGUAAUAAAUAUUUUUGUAAUCUUAUUAAGUUAAUUAGUUUUAUAUAUUAUUUAAAUAAUAAUUGUAUACUUCACAUAGAA